GAGGGCGUGUGUGUGUGUGUGUGUGUGUGUGUGUGCGCACAUAAUCCGUGGUGGUGACAC
rnacentral:pre_miRNA from 14 species